GGAGACUUUGCUCCGCGCACUAUCACGAUGAAGUGUUGCUCGGAGC
rfam:Vibrio rumoiensis 1S-45 1S-45_contig_33, whole genome shotgun sequence.